rnacentral:rRNA from 1 species
AACGAACGCUGGCGGCAGGCUUAACACAUGCAAGUCGAACGCAUCCUUCGGGAUGAGUGGCAGACGGGUGAGUAACGCGUGGGAACGUGCCCUUUAGUUUGGAAUAACCCAGGGAAACUUGGGCUAAUACCGGAUACGCCCGAAAGGGAAGGAUUAUCGCUGAAGGAGCGGCCCGCGUCUGAUUAGCUAGUUGGUGAGGUAAUGGCUCACCAAGGCGACGAUCAGUAGCUGGUC